rnacentral:rRNA from 1 species
UCUGGUGAUCACAGCACAGUGGAACCACCCGUUCCCAUCCCGAACACGGAAGUGAAACGCUGUAGCGCCGAUGGUAGUGCGACGAAAGGUCGCGUGAGAGUAGGUCGUUGCCAGAA